rnacentral:rRNA from 1 species
UACGGAGGAUGCGAGCGUUAUCCGGAUUUAUUGGGUUUAAAGGGUGCGUAGGCGGCCUUGUAAGUCAGCGGUGAAAUUUUGUCAGCUUAACUGUAAAAGUAGCCGUUGAUACUGUGAGGCUAGGAUUUGGUUUGCUGUGGGUGGAAUGUGUGGUGUAGCGGUGAAAUGCUUAGAGAUCACACAGAAUAUCGAUUGCGAAGGCAGCUCACAAAGCCAAGAUUGACGCUGAGGCACGAAAGUAGUGGGGAGUCAAACAGGAUUA